UCUGCUGGGCCAUUACUGACGCUCAUGGACGAAAGCCAGGGGAGCGAAAGGGAUUAGAUACCCCUGUAGUCCUGGCCGUAAACGAUGAACACUAGGUGUCGGGGGAAUCGACCCCUUCGGUGUCGUAGCUAACGCGUUAAGUGUUCCGCCUGGGGAGUACGCACGCAAGUGUGAAACUCAAAGGAAUUGACGGGGGCCCGCACAAGCGGUGGAGUAUGUGGUUUAAUUCGAUGCAACGCGAAGAACCUUACCAGGGUUUGACAUCCUGCGAACCUCUUAGAAAUUUGAGGGUGCCUUCGGGAAUGCAGUGACAGGUGGUGCAUGGCUGUCGUCAGCUCGUGUCGUGAGAUGUUGGGUUAAGUCCCGCAACGAGCGCAACCCACGUUUUUAGUUGCCAGCAUUUAGUUGGGCACUCUAGAAAGACCGCCGGUGAUAAACCGGGGGAAGGUGUGGAUGACGUCAAGUCAUCAUGCCCCUUACACCCUGGGCUACACACGUACUACAAUGCUACGGACAAAGGGCAGCAAACUCGCGAGAGCUAGCAAAUCCCAUAAACCGUGGCUCAGUUCAGAUCGUAGGCUGCAACUCGCCUACGUGAAGUAGGAAUCGCUAGUAAUCGCAGGUCAGCAUACUGCGGUGAAUACGUUCCCGGGCCUUGUACACACCGCCCGUCACACCAUGGAAGUUGGCCAUGCCCGAAGUCGUUACUCCAACCCUUGUGGAGGAGGACGCCGAAGGUGGGGCUAAUGACUGGGGUGAAGUCGUAACAAGGUAACC
rnacentral:rRNA from 1 species